GAAGGUAGAGUUAAUUACAGUAAUUUACUCCUUAAAACUGUCUUAGUUUCGCUUCUUCCAAGAUCAUUUAUUGUUACUUGCUUCUUUGGUCCCGGUGAGUAGCAUCUAUCUAUCUAUCUAUAUUAUAAAGCCUGUUGCCAAAAUACCAUUGAAAUGACCAUUUGACCCAUGCUUAUACACUUCUAUUACAAAAACAUCACAACAUACAUACGGCAUACAUACGAUCCUCGCCAUCCAAACCGUUCUUUCCUUCCCGUAUUCCACGUGCUGCUCAUCCCUCCCUCUGUCAUUCUCUCGCCCUAAUUCAUGUUAUACAUUUCAAACUUUCAAAUUUAAUUGAAACUGCAACAGAUUCGUAAUUGAUGGAUUCUUUGAAAAGGGGUAAUCUUAAGUCGCCGGCUCCAGAAUUGGAACGGAGUACUCUCAAAUCGACGCCUCCACAAUUGGUGGAUGACAUGAGUGAAUACCGAGUAUUUAGGGUAUAGUGCUGGAUUUCCUGUUAUACAGUGGUUUUGGGAGGUUGUACAGAGUUUUAUCAAGGAGGAUAACGGACGACUCUUACAGUUUGUUACUGGCACCUCAAAGUCUCGCAUCCAGGAACGGUAUGCGGUCAGUUCCUAUUCUGGAUUUUUGAGUUUGGAUAUGCUUUAUUAUUCAAAGAACUUUGCCGAAAAAAAAAGAAGAAAAAACAUUGGCAGUUGGAAAAAACUACUUAAGCACAGAAUGGAAGCAAGAAUUAAUCACAUUUUUUGAGUUUUUCAAGAGGAUUCAGACCAAUGACGGUACUACUGUGUCUAUUGACAUCCAAAAAUUGCCUAAAUUGUGUAAUUGGGUGACAUUGUUCAAGUGGCCUACUGGGAAAAAUAUAUUGCGUCGUGAUUGGCUUCUUCGUGACUACAAUGCAGGUGAAACAUUAACUAGAGCUUCGAAGUAAAAACAUAUGCUGUUAAAAAUAUAUGCCUAUUUAUUACCUAAUUUAUAAACAUAAUAUUUGGUAGAUGCGACCCUUGAGAAGAAAUUAUUGAUUCACUGAAUUAUUUUAUGACAAGCUAUCGAGUUAUUUAUACACCAGUGUACAUCUCUUCCCCUAGCACGCACAAAUUUUCCACCAGUAUAGUGGUAUCAGCAACUAGCUUCGAAUAAAACAUAACUCCUCAACUCUUAUUUCAUUUGGAUUCCAAUGGCCUGCUUUAGAUUGUGUGUAUUUCAUUGGAAGAUGGAAAUGGUCCAGGUUCUCACUAGCAGAUUGUAGAGACAGUGAGGAGAUAUGGAGGUCCUGAAAUAUGCACACAAAAGAGUAUUAAUUGUAACCAAUUAAGGCUUCUGAAUUUACAUCAUUAAUUCUAUUACAAAAACUGAUCUAGCAUUUUCAUUAUUUUCACUGGUUUAGUAAUGAUAUGGAGACUGAUAAUUCUUUGAAUUAAAAUGGCUACAUCAUCCUGGCCAAGUUUCUAAUAUCUGUUAUUUGCUGCAUUAGUUUAUAAUAUUACAUCAGUAAGUUUUAGGAUUGAUUGUCAAAACUAAGUAGUAUAUAUAGAUUCUGCUUUCGAGAGUAUAGAUUUAUGUUCUGGUACAGGUACAGUCAACACACAAAUACCUAUGGUAUUGAUGUUGCUGUGGAAUGUAGAUCUUCCGUGACAAUAAUAUAAUUUGAGGUUUAAAUCUCUCUUCUUCUCUGUUUGACUAUACUUGACCAGACAUGCACACACAUAUAUACCAGAAAUCUAGGACUCCAUCUGAUAUACAGGAUAUGCACAUGAAUUUCAAUAUGAAAUUUAUGUUGUGUCCUGUUUGGUUGGUUUUAUGUGUGAGUGCUUGAUGAGGUGUUUCGGAUAUAGAUUGACAGUAGAGUACUGGUUUAUAUUGUAUAUGUACACUAUUAUAGGAUUUUAUUGCUUCACUUCACAAGCGAAAGACAGAGCUGUUUAUGGUCCUCAUUGAGAAGAAGUUGCUGCCUCUACGGCCUGGUGUUACAAACUUCCAAAAUAAUAUUUGGUGCUCGGACUCCACCCAGACAUCCAAGCCAUGGAGUAAAGAAUUCAAUUCAAGCACCAGAAAAUGGAGUGUCAACAUUUCUUUCUUUUGAAUAAUAAUCUCUUGCAAUAGAGGUAUGUUAAUCCACGUGCUGAAGCUGCAACUAAGGCACACAAGUUUACUGCCCAGAAAAAGUUUUACAAUGUAUCUGUACAAAUCCAUCCGCAUCAAGUAACUUUACAAACUUGGGGAUACAAGGAAAACACGCCAUCAUGCUACAAAAAUUGAAAGAACGAUUCAGCCUUCUAAAAAAUGAAAGUGUAAUGUGCAAGAAGAGGGUGAAGAGAUUACCUCAGUUAAAGGAAUGAAAAUGAACAAAGCGGUGAUUUGAAAAGAGGUAGACUUCAAAGUGGCAUAUGGUUUCCCCAGAAUGCUUUUACUGAAUAUCAAAGACUUUGUCUAAUUUCGUUAAUGUCUUUGUCUAACUUUGACUAAUUUUGUCUAAUUUUGUAAAAUAAAAUUGUUGAUUAAAUUU